rnacentral:misc_RNA from 1 species
GUAACAAGGUCUCCGUUGGUGAACCAGCGGAGGGAUCAUUACAGAGUUGCAAAACUCCCUAAACCAUUGUGAACGUUACCUAUACCGUUGCUUCGGCGGGCGGCCCCGGGGUUUACCCCCCGGGCGCCCCUGGGCCCCACCGCGGGCGCCCGCCGGAGGUCACCAAACUCUUGAUAAUUUAUGGCCUCUCUGAGUCUUCUGUACUGAAUAAGUCAAAACUUUCAACAACGGAUCUCUUGGUUCUGGCAUCGAUGAAGAACGCAGCGAAAUGCGAUAAGUAAUGUGAAUUGCAGAAUUCAGUGAAUCAUCGAAUCUUUGAACGCACAUUGCGCCCGCCAGCAUUCUGGCGGGCAUGCCUGUUCGAGCGUCAUUUCAACCAUCAAGCCCCCGGGCUUGUGUUGGGGACCUGCGGCUGCCGCAGGCCCUGAAAAGCAGUGGCGGGCUCGCUGUCGCACCGAGCGUAGUAGCAUACAUCUCGCUCUGGUCGCGCCGCGGGUUCCGGCCGUUAAACCACCUUUUAACCCAAGGUUGACCUCGGAUCAGGUAGGAAGACCCGCUGAACUUAAGCAUAUCAAUAA